GAGGAAUCCUCCAGGAGCGCUGUCUGGAGGAGAGACUCUCAAAAGUGGACCUGAACAUCCUUCUAAGAAGACAUGACCAGUCCUCAGCUUUCUGCCUCCUGCAUAACUGGCUUACCAAGGGAAAAGAAGUCACGUAUCAGUCUACUGUCCUCAUGCGAAGGAAAGCGAGACCGACGAGACCGCGAUCAUUGUCGAAAUCAGGCAUUAGCUGUACAUCUGGGAGCGGAGCAGUCACCGCUGUCAGUGAGAUAAAUGUCUGGUUUGGUGAGGGAUCUGCUCAUGGCCCACCUGGCUCCAGUUUGCAGAGGAAUCAUCCAGGAGCCCUCGCCGGACGAGAAUAUGCAGAAGUGGACCUCAGCAGCCUGGACAUCCUUCUAAGGAGACAUGAAUAUUCCUCAUCAUUCUGCCUUUUGCAUAACUGCCUUACCAAGGAAAAAGAAGUCACGGUCAGAGUCUACUGUCCUCAUGCGAUGGAAAGUGAGCGAGAGUGACGAGACCACGAGCAUUGUCAAAAUCAAGCAUUAGGCAUGCAUCUGGGAGCGGAGCAGCUACUGCUGUCAGUGAGAUAAGUGUCUGUUCUGGUGAGAGCUCUGCUCACGGCCCACCUGGCUCCAGCUGCUCUUGCAGAGGAAUUGUCCAGGAGCCCUAGCUGGAGGAGGAAGAGGCAGAAGUGGACCUGAGCAGCUUGGACGUCCUUUUAAGCAGACACGAACAGUCCUCAGCUUUCUGUCUCCUGCAUAACUGGCUGACCAAGAGAAAAGAAGUGGAGGGUCAGCGUCGGCUCACCUCACAUUACGGAAAGCGAGUGAGAGCGACGAGAUUGCAAGCAUUUUGGAUGCCAGGCAAGAGCCGUCCAGCUGGGAGUGGAGCAGCCGCCACUGUCAAUGAGAUAAGUAUCUGUUUUGGUGAUUGCUCUGCUCGCUGCCCACCUGAAUCCAGAUACAAAUGCCCCAUUAACUGGGACUGGGUUUGUAACAAAAUAUUCCUGACUAGGUGUGGUUCUGAAGGAGACAAGGUCCCCAUUUUCAGGGGCUGCUCAUUUCUUUGUUCACAAGAGCUGUGUCCUCUGCAGAAAAAGUUGGAUCCAGGAGGUUGAUUCCAGGUGGCGAGUUGCUUGCCUUCCUCCUGUGUUUUUUUUUCUCUCUCCCUUCUCCAGUACGUUGGCCAACACACACCCUUUCUCUUUCUGUCCUUGCUUUUCCUUGUGCUGUCUCCGUUCGUACGACACGAGCACGUGUGCUCGGUGUGCACCCCCACAGGGUAGGUCUCGGGAGCCAUGAUGAAGUAGGAGGGGACGAAAAUUGUGCAAGGUAGCGGGCGCGGGAGUGGAGGGGUGACUGUCAGUGUUAACUUGGUCUCUGUUCAUCAAGUGGGGCAGAUGUAGAUGGGCUGGAAGAGGGAGGCAGGGAUGAGGGCAAGAUUUCAAGCAUCAAUAGAGAUGUGUGUAGUGAUGGCUCAUGCUUGGCUUUUGCAGAUCCAUUUCCAGAGGAAUUUCCCAGGAGCCGUAGCCGGAGGAGAGGUUGGCAGAUGUGGACAUGAGGAAACUGAACAUCCUUCUGAGCAGACACGAACAGUCCUUGGCUUUCUGCUUCCCACAGAA